rnacentral:rRNA from 1 species
UAGAGUUUGAUUAUGGCUCAGAUUGAACGCUGGCGGCAUGCCUUACACAUGCAAGUCGAACGGCAGCACGGGAGCAAUCCUGGUGGCGAGUGGCGAACGGGUGAGUAAUGUAUCGGAACGUACCUUUCAGUGGGGGAUAACGUAGCGAAAGUUACGCUAAUACCGCAUAUUCUGUGAGCAGGAAAGCAGGGGAUCGCAAGACCUUGCGCUGAUUGAGCGGCCGAUAUCAGAUUAGCUAGUUGGUGAGGUAAAGGCUCACCAAGGCGACGAUCUGUAGCGGGUCUGAGAGGAUGAUCCGCCACACUGGAACUGAGACACGGUCCAGACUCCUACGGGAGGCAGCAGUGGGGAAUUUUGGACAAUGGGGGCAACCCUGAUCCAGCCAUGCCGCGUGAGUGAAGAAGGCCUUCGGGUUGUAAAGCUCUUUCGGCCGGGAAGAAAUCGCAUGGGUUAAUACCCUGUGUGGAUGACGGUACCGGAAUAAGAAGCACCGGCUAACUACGUGCCAGCAGCCGCGGAAUUC